rnacentral:lncRNA from 1 species
CCGCUAGUAGGAUCUCACAAAAGCUUCAAUAGGAGAGAACAAAGCUGCGUUAAAGGUCAGAAUGAGAAGACUAGAAAUGGGUGGUUCAGCGAGAGCCCAGGCACUAACCUGAUAGACCUGGUUUUGCACAACUUAGAACUAUGUAGAAAAUAAUAUUAAAUCACUCGAAGGAAGUUUGUGUUGGAAAAGGUGACUAACAGAUUCCUGGCUAUGAAAAUAAAGAAACUGCUGGCAUUUUAAACUCCAGUAAGGAGAGAGAGGAGGAUUAGUUGGGCAUGAGGAGAAGUAAUGAACUACAGCCGAGUAUAUUAAUUUCAUGUGCUCAUGAGACGUCUGACAAAGAUGUCAAGAAAUUCUGCUUAGAGUAGAAUGCAGCAAUGGGGACAGAAAAUCACACGACUAGAUGUUCCACUAUCGUUGCUUCAAGCUUCAGGCAUGACUCUGAAGGUGAUACUCACAAAGUUUCUCCCACAGAUAACUGUUCCCCCCGAGAAGCUCUUCAAUACUCAUCUGUCAUGAAGAAAACGUAUUGGAAAAUGAAAGCACGAAAAAUUCUCCUGAGAUGUAGAUGCCAUCUAAAUUUCUCUUUACAAUUCUGUUAUUUGCAUGCUAAUAGCUGCCUAUCUAACUCCGGAGCAAGAAAAAUGCGACUUUAUUUGAAGUCACAUCACAGUCUGACAGUUGAUUUCAUCAUCACAAAUGAAAAACAGAAGGACAGUAGGACAAGAAGAGCCAACGAAAACAGAGGAAAAAGUGGGGAGAGAGUGGAGGGAAUGGAGAGAAACUGUAUACAGGGGGUAGAAAGAAGUGUCCCUCGCAAGAGCGCCUCGUCACCAGGAAAGCGAUCAUGUACCGCUUCUGCCUUUCAGAAGUUUCCGGAGCUUGAGGGCGGAGCUGUGCCUGGGACGCAGCUGAUCUACUUCUGGGUGAUGGGGUUCAUCUAGUACUGCAGCCUAGCCUGGUGCACACGAGAAUAUUUUUAAAGUCCUUUUUCCUCUGACUAACUCAUAUAUUAAAAAUAAACUGCUGUAGAAGUCUUUGCUUUCUGAUGACUUUGGCGAGCUUGCUGUUUUAACGAGGCCAUUGCAGAAUCUGUUUUAUUAUACAAAAUCCUCUUUUGAUAUACUUAGAGCCUAGACAAAGUCAAUCUGAGAACUUCAAAGAAGAUAAUAAGGAAGGAAAGUUA